rnacentral:rRNA from 1 species
UCCUACGGGGGGCAGCAGUAGGGAAUUUUCGUCAAUGGGCGCAAGCCUGAACGAGCAAUGCCGCGUGAACGAGGAAGGUCUUCGGAUCGUAAAGUUCUGUUGAAGGGGAAAAAGAGCGGAGAGAGGGAAUGGUCUCCGAUUGAUAUUACCCUUCGAGGAAGUCACGGCUAACUACGUGCCAGCAGCCGCGGUAAUACGUAGGUGGCGAGCGUUAUCCGGAAUGAUUGGGCGUAAAGGGUGCGUAGGCGGCCUGCUAAGUCUGGAGUGAAAGGUACCGGCUCAACCGGUACAGGCUCUGGAAACUG